UAAGACCUCACAUUCUAGUAGAAGAAACACAUCAACAAAUGACCAUAAUGCAAUAGGGUUAACUACCACAAGAUUUGCAUAACAGAAUAAAGCAAGCAACUAAGGCACCAAAUGCCACAAAAAGACUAAACAAGAUUUCAGUGGCCUACUCUAAGGUAUUAAGUUCCCUCCCUUAUUAUCUCCAGUUGUAUCUCCAUUCUUAGAGGAGAAUGCACCACAUGUUUUUUUUCCCCCAGCUAGAAAAACUAAAUGAGCAGCCCAUAAUAAGCUACAUAAAACCUUUAUUUCCAAUGUUAUCUUUAUUCCAAUCCAAACAACCUAUUGUUAAGCUUUACUGUCAUCACAGCUUAAAAUAUUUUCACUUUAGUGAAGAAAAUUAUUUCUGACUUGAAAAAAAAAAUCUUGUUUAUAACAUUAAAAAACUAAAUCCUGGUGUCAGAACAGAUCUCACUGGAAAAAAGUUGUAAUUACAUUCCUGGUAAGAAAUAAAAAUGUGUUGGAUAAACUCACUUAAAAUGCUUACUAAGCAAGUACCUCCACCAAAGCAAAGAAGAACUACUCCUCACAAAAAUGAAGGAAAAGAAGAGAAAUUUCAUAUUACCAAAUUUUAUUUCUCCAGCAUCUUCCCUGAAAUAAACAGAAUGGAUACAUAUUCCUCUUAAAAAUUUUCAAUUGAGGCAGAAGAAAAAAAUUAUUUGCAGAAAACCUAGAAAAGCUAUUAUGAAAUUAUCUCACAGCCUUCCUCAAACAAACAAAACGUCUUGGCUAGAGUAGAUGGUUGGAGAAAAAGGAAAAAAAAAUGCUCUUAAGCCAAGAACUAGCCUACAUUUUCCUUCAUCCUUACCUUUUAUCCCCAUAUAAUAAUACACACCCAAAGCCCCUGCUCCCCCUCAAUCUACACAUAUGCACACAUCUUCCUCUCUCACUGUCUCACUUUCAGAAUUAGAUUUUUUACACUAGAAAAAAAUAUGAAUAUAAUAUUCACAUAUACUGGGCCGAAUAUUAAAGUUGAUAUCUAUUUGGUUUUACUUAAAAACAAGAUAAUAGGUAACAUGUUAAGGGGAGACUCUAAGAGUAUGCCUUAAUCUGAAAAACACAAGGGAAUCUAAUAUAUAUUUUUUUAUUUCUUUUUGAGAUGGAGUCUUGCUCUGUCACCCAGGCUAGAGUGCAAUGAUGUGGUCUCAGCUCACUGCAACCUCCGCCUCCUGGGUUCAAGUCAUUCUCCUCCCUCAGCCUCCCGAGUAGCUGGGACUCCAGGCAUGCGCCACCACACCCGGCUAACUUUUUGUAUUUUUAGUAGAGACGGGGUUUCACCAUGUUGGCCAGGAUGGUCUCGAUCUCUUGACCUCGUGAUCCACCCGCCUCGGCCCUCCAAAGUGCUGGAAUUACAGGCGUGAGCCACCGUGCCCGGCCGAGACUGCAAAUUUUAUUGCAAGCAUGGCUCAAUGAUACCUCACAUGGUUUUUAUAAGUGAGAAUAAUCAGAGCAGUUAAGACAGAAGUUAAGGAUUAUGAUUUUUUUAAGUUCUUCCAGCCCUGGGUUUUUACAAAGCCACUGUUUUUGAACUCCUUUAAAAUUUGAUGCUAUAGAACACUUUCCAGCGAAAUGUUUCUCUCUGUAGGAGUGCUGAAGUCACCCCUCUCAGCACCCUGGCCAGAGCCUCUGGGAUGUCUGGGUGCACUUGCUGGGGCUUGACCCUCACCUGUCUUCCCUUCUGCUCAGGCGAUGCUGAAGACCAACCGAGGUACUAUAGGAGGCUUCUUCCUCGCUGGUCGUGAUAUGGCCUGGUGGCCGGUAAGUGGACCGAAGUUUUCUGGAGAUAAAUUUCCUGAGUGUGUGCUUAAAACUGAAUGUAGGCCGGGUGCGGUGGCUCACGCCUGNNNNNNNNNNUCUGAAAAACACAAGGGAAUCUAAUAUUUUUUUUUAUAUUUUUUUUAUUUCUUUUUCAGACGGAGUCUUGCUCUGUCACCCAGGCUAGAGUUCAAUGAUGCGGUCUCAGCUCACCGCAACCUCCGCCUCCUGGGUUCAAGUCAUUCUCCUGCCUCAGCCUCCUGAGUAGCUGGGACUCCAGGCAUGUGCCACCACACCCGGCUAAUUUUUGUAUUUUUAGUAGAGAUAGGGUUUCACUAUGUUAUACUGAUGAAUUACUUAGCCUUCAGGUGAA
rnacentral:lncRNA from 1 species